CCAGAAUGAGUGUCCUGCAGGCCACUUCCCCUGGUCUCUAAGUGGCAAAGUGGGGCACAGAAUUCUGCCUGCACUGUACAGUCCCUUUCCACAGUGCUGAAGAGAAGCCGGGCCCGAGUCUGCACUGGCCCCUCCCUACAACUUCUUAGAAGCCUGCAUGGGGACCAAGGACACUAGCUACAUAGGU
rnacentral:snoRNA from 1 species